rnacentral:rRNA from 1 species
UACGUAGGGGGCUAGCGUUGUCCGGAAUCAUUGGGCGUAAAGAGCGUGUAGGCGGCCCGGUAAGUCCGCUGUGAAAGUCGGGGGCUCAACCCUCGAAUGCCGGUGGAUACUGUCGGGCUAGAGUGCGGAAGAGGCGAGUGGAAUUCCUGGUGUAGCGGUGAAAUGCGCAGAUAUCAGGAGGAACACCGGUGGCGAAGGCGGGUCUCUGGGCCGACACUGACGCUGAGGAGCGAAAGCGUGGGGAGCGAACAGG